GUGUGCUACUCUUUUCUAAAAGUCUUACCUUCCGCAAUAGCAUGGGUUUGCUUACAACUGCAACAUCACGAAUGUCAGAUUCGUUACAUGAUCUGCGUAUCCUUCAGAGACAACUACCUUUGUUGGGUUUGUGUUUAUAGAAUUAUGUUGUUUUUUUAUUUAUAUUUUUUCGUUUUAUGACAUGGCGUUGUAAGAACUCCUCUUUAUAUAUAACGUGAGCAUUGUUACAAUAUUGCAGUCAUAAAUUUUCGAAGGCAUUCACAAACCUUUGAAAGCAUCGUGGUAUACUAUGUUUCGAACGUUCUUUUGUUCUGAGGUACCUAAACUUGGGUAGCAAUUGCUAAAUCGUUGAAAUUCUAUAGGGCAAAUAUUGUCAAUUGUAAUUUUCUAAUACCUUUUUUUUCCUUUCUUAUUAUACUUUGAACAACAUGAUGCAUGUAUUUUUUUUUUACUAAAACUACAAAAAAAAACAUGUCACGCAAC
rnacentral:lncRNA from 1 species